ensembl:rRNA 5S_rRNA 5S ribosomal RNA
GGCGGCGGCGAUGGCGGGGAGGACAUGCCCGUUCCCAUGCCGAACACGGAAGCGAAGCUCCCCCGCGGCGAUAAUAGCCCGUCGGGCGAAGGCAGCGCGCUGCCGCUU